rnacentral:rRNA from 1 species
GUAGGCGGUUUGUCGCGUCUGCUGUGAAAGGCCGGGGCUUAACCCCGUGUAUUGCAGUGGGUACGGGCAGACUAGAGUGCAGUAGGGGAGACUGGAACUCCUGGUGUAGCGGUGGAAUGCGCAGAUAUCAGGAAGAACACCGAUGGCGAAGGCAGGUCUCUGGGCUGUAACUGACGCUGAGGAGCGAAAGCGUGGGGAGCGAACAGGAUUAGAUACCCUGGUAGUCCACGCUGUAAACGUUGGGCACUAGGUGUGGGGGCCACCCGUGGUUUCUGCGCCGUAGCUAACGCUUUAAGUGCCCCGCCUGGGGAGUACGGCCGCAAGGCUAAAACUCAAAGGAAUUGACGGGGGCCCGCACAAGCGGCGGAGCAUGCGGAUUAAUUCGAAGCAACGCGAAGAACCUUACCAGGUCUUGACAUCCCUCUGACCGCUCUAGAGAUAGAGUUUUCCUUCGGGACAGAGGUGACAGGUGGUGCAUGGUUGUCGUCAGCUCGUGUCGUGAG